rnacentral:rRNA from 1 species
GAUGAACGCUGGCGGCGUGCUUAACACAUGCAAGUCGAACGGAGUGCCUUUGAAAGAGGAUUCGUCCAAUUGAUAAGGUUACUUAGUGGCGGACGGGUGAGUAACGCGUGAGGAACCUGCCUUGGAGUGGGGAAUAACACAGUGAAAAUUGUGCUAAUACCACAUAAUGCAACGAAAUCGCAUGACUUUGUUGCCAAAGAUUUAUCGCUCUGAGAUGGCCUCGCGUCUGAUUAGCUAGUUGGCGGGGUAACGGCCCACCAAGGCGACGAUCAGUAGCCGGACUGAGAGGUUGGCCGGCCACAUUGGGACUGAGACACGGCCCAG